rnacentral:rRNA from 1 species
UACAGAGGUCUCAAGCGUUUGUUCGGAUUCAUUGGGCGUAAAGGGUGCGUAGGCGGCGCGGUAAGUCGGGUGUGAAAUCUCGGAGCUUAACUCCGAAACUGCAUUCGAUACUGCCGUGCUUGAGGACUGGAGAGGAGACUGGAAUUUACGGUGUAGCGGUGAAAUGCGUAGAUAUCGUAAGGAAGACCAGUGGCGAAGGCGGGUCUCU